rnacentral:pre_miRNA from 1 species
AAUAGAAUUGCUGGGUCAUAUGGUAACUCUAUAUUUAACUAUUUGAGGAACUACCAAACUGUUUCCCAAGGUGGCUGCACCAUUUAACAUUCCCACCAGCAGU